AUACGGAGGGUGCAAGCGUUAAUCGGAAUUACUGGGCGUAAAGCGUACGUAGGCGGUUCGUUAAGUUAGAUGUGAAAGCCCCGGGCUUAACCUGGGAACUGCAUUUAAAACUGGCGAACUAGAGUUGAGUAGAGGGGAGUGGAAUUUCAGGUGUAGCGGUGAAAUGCGUAGAGAUCUGAAGGAACACCAGUGGCGAAGGCGGCUCCCUGGACUCAAACUGACGCUGAGGUACGAAAGCGUGGGUAGCAAACGGGAUUAGAAACCCUGGUAGUCC
rnacentral:rRNA from 1 species